UAAGGAAUAUUGGACAAUGGGGGAAACCCUGAUCCAGCCAUGCCGCGUGAAUGAAGAAGGCCUUAGGGUUGUAAAGUUCUUUUAGUGGUGACGAUAAUGACGGUAACCACAGAAAAAGCUCCGGCUAACUCCGUGCCAGCAGCCGCGGUAAUACGGAGGGAGCGAGCGUUGUUCGGAAUUACUGGGCGUAAAGCGUGCGCAGGCGGCUUAGCAAGUCAGAAGUGAAAGCCCUGGGCUUAACCCAGGAAUUGCUUUUGAAACUGCUAGGCUAGAGUAUCGGAGAGGUUGGCGGAAUUCCCAGUGUAGAGGUGAAAUUCGUAGAUAUUGGGAGGAACACCAGUGGCGUAAGCGGCCAACUAGACGAUAACUGACGCUCAGGCACGAAAGCGUGGGGAUCAAA
rnacentral:rRNA from 1 species